GUUCCGGCCGUCGCGGGUGGCCGUAGUGGUGAAGACGACGCGGUACGAGUUCGAGCAGCAGCGGUACCGCUACGCCGGGCUCUCCGAGGAGGACCUCAAGCAGCUGGUUUAAUGUGGAAACAUCAUUCUGUGUUGAUUCCCAUGUGGGUUCCUGUUGCUAAGGUGUCCUUGUACUUCCUUUCAAAUGGUGGUUAUGGAAAAAAAAUGGCUCUCACAGCUCAUCUGGGCUCAAGCUUGAGUGACCCCGGACCUGGCUUGUGGUGUUGUGGCAGCAUCACGGUGUGAGGGAGUCUAAGGAGGAAGCACAAUGCUGUCAUCAUCUGUCACAGACCUUCAGUUGUCCAGGUGCUGACUAUCUGAAGUACAGAAAUUCAGCUUCAAGGCACUGUUCCAGGGUUAGAUUUGACCAACUGCACCUCGGCUCAUUGGCCUACCAGUUGUGGGCAGAAGAAAUGUUUGCAAGUUUCUAGAAGAAAACUGAUGUCUCUACUUGGAAGCUUCAGAUUUUCGUAUAGCACAAGUAAUGAUAAUUGUGGGCUUAAACAGUUCUACCUGAUCACUGAGACAGGAGAGGAGUCAUGAAUUUAGCUGUUGCAGUCAGUGCAUUUAUGUAUUAAGACUGAAGCUGCAGUCACUUAAUGCAGAAAUGGUGGUGCAUUUGGGCACACGUCCUAAUGAGGUGGGAUUUGUUCCAUAUUUAAGGAGGCUGAAGAUGAAUCACUGACAUAUACAAAUAUAUAUUAAAAUAUGAUACAGAUCAUAGUAUGUAUCAUUUAUAUGAUAUAUCCAGUAAAAAUCACAGUAUACUUCAAGAAGCAGAGUAUGGGUAUCAAGGCAGACUGGCUGACACUUCUAAUAACCCAUAGAGGCCCUGAGCACCUGUGGCUUAAAUCCUUCUGUGGCCUUUCCUUUGGACCCCAAGUGAGUUGUAUUAUACAAACACUAUAAAAUGUUGCAAAGUCAAAGCUGCAAGGUCACAAUUCCUGAAUUCUUUCUUUGUGCAAACAGAGAUAGGAGAGGUGAAGAAGCAGUCCAGACAGCAGAAAAACAAAACAGAUGCCGGAGAGAUGGAGAGCAAGGGCAAGCACUCUUUGGAGUGUUUAGCAGAUCUGUGAAAGAUUAAUUCUUCCAUUGCAUUUCUGCAUGCAUGCUGUGCAUGCCUGCUCCAGGCAAUUGUUUUUACCUGUCUUGUGGCAGAUACUAUUACAUGCUUACAAACAAGUCUUUUACAUCUGUUUAUAGGUGUACACAAACACACCUGCCUAUCAUAAUUAGUAGUCUAAUUCUGAAGGAUUAUGUAAAGUAUAAUUAAAUGCUUUGGAUGCUGUUUUACUGGAGAGGUUUUCAGAGUCUUUACUCCUGAAGAGAGAUUAGAGAUCUAUGAAAGUGAGAUUUCUCUUCUAAUACCACAAAAGGAAAAUGCCUCCAAAUGAUCCAGCACUUAAAAAAAAGUGCUGCAUCAGUAAAUUUUGUGCAUCAUAUCAUGCAAGGAAUAUUUUUCUUUGCCUUCAUGAAAUUUGAAGGGGCUACUGGAUUUCUAAAACUUGCAGUUACCAUCUUUAAGUUAGAUGAAAAUACUAAUAUUUUUCCCAAGUCCCUACAGACAGUUUGCUUACCAGGAGUGACAGCAGUUUGCAUUUCUUCUGACCUGUUUAUUUGGAUUAGCAUCUAAAUAUGACUGGUUACAAAAGUAAAUGAUCCAGUCAACUAAUACUGAAGGCUACUGUAUAUCCUGGCUGUUUAUUUCAUUCUCGGUAAAUCCAUGCAGAACAAGCACUGCUGUUGUCCUUACGUAAACUAAGAGAAUUUAAUACCCCAGUAAUAGAUAAAACUAAUUUCCUGAGUUCUGUUCUUUGUUUUGUUUGAUAGUGCAGAUGCGAUGUAGCUGCUGACUUCUCAUGCCUGGAAGGUAUUUAGGAAAGAUGAACAAUUUAGCUGUCCAAACACAGUUCAUAUACAGUUUUAAUUACCUUUGAAAAUGUCAUAUGAAAAGUUAGGUUUGUUUUGGUCUUAAUUGGAAGGAAAUGGUUCAGUGUGGACCACAGCUGAUACUCUACUGUGGCUGGUUUACAGUCGUCGUUUGCAGCAGGGAGGGAGAGCACAGACUUAGAGCUGUUUGGAACAAGUUUUGGCUCAUUUGGACCACUGCAACAGAUUGGUAGGGGUGCUCAUCUCAGUGAUGUGAAGUUCAUAGGGCUUUAUUGAGAACUGGUUUUUCGUUAGAGAAGAGGUAGCGUGUUAGCAGGAUAUUCCCUCCCCUGAAAGAGGCACAUAAGUGAUGCAUAGGGCACCACCAAUAACAUAUAGAGCUGGGGUAGUCAAGAAGGAAGAAAGGAGUGUUGCCCAGCAGGUAGGAGAGGUUCAGUUGAAGCUCCUGUGUUGUGCACUAGAACAACCCCACAGAAGUAUGGAGGGUGUGUGUGUGUGUGUAGAAGAACACUACCCUGCCAUUCUCCUGAAUUCCUAAUUAAGAUGUGUAUAGCACCAGUUGUUACCAGCCUGCACAUUUUCAUGUCUCUUAAGAAAAUUCUCUCUUGGGGGAAAUGUACUGUUUUACUAAUAACUUGAUAGCUGAUUGAUUUUUGGUUUUAAUUAUGGAAAUUAAAAUAUCUUUUACAUUAAAUGGUGAAAGUAUCACUUUAGUAUCACUUUUUAAUUACUUUUUCUGGGUACUAGUGUUACAGGUGUGUAAAUCUCACAUUGCCACCUGAAGAUAGGCUUUUGGAAACCAGUCAGGUAUUUCAUUCUUAGAUUUCUGAUUUAGAGGAGUGCACUUCAAUACAGAUGCCUGUGAUCCACUGCAAUUAUUUAGUACGUAAAUAUUUUCAAAACACUGGAAUUUUUACAGAUGCAAGGAAGGUAGCAGAAGGAAAAAGUAAUGUGCAAACUUCAAAGUUCAACUGAGUUCUAAUUUUAAAAUUAAAUGAGAUAAUUUAGCAAGUAAUUAAAAAAAAAGUUGCUCCUCUAAAAACUACUAAGUAUUAGGACAUUUAUGUUUGUGUCCUCUUGUAGAUCCAGAUAUACAGGGGUGCAUUUGAAGUCGUAUCUUUAAAUAGAAACUUAUCUAAUGAGGUCAUAGUUUGAAGCUUUUCAUUGUUUUGUCGCAUUCAGACUACCCAUCUCUGCUUAUUUUGUAAUGUGAAUUAUUUCAGUAGCUGUUUUUUCAGGGAGCAGUUUAAAAACUGCUAGGACUGUACUAUGUACUUUACUUUACCUUGCCUUAAAAAGAGGGGGGAAAUAUCAACUCAGUUUAGUGAAUUUCAAGCAUACAGAAUUCAAGACACAGGUUAUAGUGCACCAGGACUGUAUAAAGCUAAAGCCACUUUUUUUUUCAGAAAUAAAAUUUUUGAGCUAGUCCA